rnacentral:rRNA from 1 species
UACGUAGGUGGCAAGCGUUAUCCGGAAUUAUUGGGCGUAAAGCGCGCGCAGGCGGUUCCUUAAGUCUGGUGUGAAAUCUUGCGGCUCAACCGCAAGCGGUCAUUGGAAACUGGGGAACUUGAGUGCAGAAGAGGAGAGUGGAAUUCCACGUGUAGCGGUGAAAUGCGUAGAGAUGUGGAGGAACACCAGUGGCGAAGGCGACUCUCUGGUCUGUAACUGACGCUGAGGCGCGAAAGCGUGGGGAGCAAAC